rnacentral:rRNA from 1 species
GUGCCAGCCGCCGCGGUAAUACGAAGGGGGCUAGCGUUGCUCGGAAUCACUGGGCGUAAAGGGCGCGUAGGCGGCGUUUUAAGUCGGGGGUGAAAGCCUGUGGCUCAACCACAGAAUGGCCUUCGAUACUGGGACACUUGAGUAUGGUAGAGGUUGGUGGAACUGCGAGUGUAGAGGUGAAAUUCGUAGAUAUUCGCAAGAACACCGGUGGCGAAGGCGGCCAACUGGACCAUUACUGACGCUGAGGCGCGAAAGCGUGGGGAGCAAACAGGAUUAGAAACCCCAGUAGUCC